AGCCUCGAGAGAGAACGGCACACGCACUUGCCUGUCCGGAAGAAUUCCCCAAUUUAAGAUCUCUCUCGCGGUCUCGCCACCUCCACCUCACUCGCUCGCCCGCUCGCUGCUGCUCACAUGUCGGCGGCCGGCGACGAGAGCGCCGGCGGCGCCGCCGCCCUGCCGCAGGGGCCGGUGCCCGUGGAGCACGUCAAGGCGGCCAACGGGCUCGAGAAGGUCGUCCUCCGCGAGGUCCGGGGCAACUCCGUCGAGGUGUACCUGUAUGGUGGCCAUGUCACAUCAUGGAAAGAUGAGCAUGGCGAGGAGCUGCUUUUUGUUAGCAAUAAGGCUAUUUUCAAACCUCCAAAAGCUAUACGUGGAGGUAUACCAAUCUGCUUUCCUCAGUUUUCCAACUUCGGACAUCUGGAAGCUCAUGGAUUUGCAAGGAACAGGACCUGGAUUGUUGACACUGAUCCACCACCAUUUCCAGUACCAGUCUCUAGUAGAGCUUACAUCGAUUUAAUCCUUAAACCUACCGAAGAAGACUUAAAGAUCUGGCCACAUAGUUUUGAGUACCGUCUGAGGAUUGCACUUGGACCUGGUGGAGAUCUAAUGCUGACUUCACGUAUAAGGAAUAGCAAUGCAGAUGCAAAGUCAUUCACUUUUACCUUUGCAUAUCACACAUACUUUUCGAUUUCUGAUAUAAGCGAGAUAAGAGUAGAAGGUCUUGAAACUCUGGAUUACCUAGACAACUUGCAAGAUAGGGCCCGCUUCACUGAACAAGGCGAUGCUAUUGUUUUUGAAUCUGAGUUAGACAGAAUAUAUCUGGGCACACCAUCAAAAAUUGCCAUUAUUGAUCAUGAGAAGAAAAGGACAUUUGUUGUGAGAAAAGGAGGCCUUCCGGAUGCUGUUGUUUGGAACCCUUGGGACAAAAAGGCUAAGGCAAUGUCAGAUUUUGGGGAUGACGAAUAUAAACGCAUGGUAUGUGUGGAGGCAGCUGCUAUAGAGAAGCCAAUUACUCUGAAGCCUGGUGAAGAGUGGACUGGAAAAUUGGAAUUAUCUGCAGUCCCGUCUAGUUAUUACAGUGGUCAAUUGGACCCGGAUCGUGUUAUUCAGGAUUCAGUUGUCCCGGAGGAUUCCAUCAGCUAGCCCUUAGUGAAUCUUGUGCAGAAUUCUCUAGACACGAUUAAGCGAGACCAGAUGCUAGGAACUUGGCAUAAUGCAUCUCUAAGAAUUAUGACAACAAACAGAUGGCUUUGUCAAGAACUAGGCAUGGUACGCAGAACCUGUCUUUUUGGGUAAUCAGGGAUUCGGUGGAGACUAAAAUCUACCAGAAUUUACUGGCAGAACCUGUCUUUUUGGGUAAUCAGGGAUUCGGUGGAGACUAAAAUCUACCAGAAUUUACUGGUGAAGCGGCAACCAUAUUGUGGAAGACCUUUUCUUUUGAGAACUCCAAUUACAAAAGACUAGCUUACCUGCACAAUGUUUUGUUUUUAUCUGCUUACAGUUGUAGACUAUUAAUAUCGUAUGCACAAGGGAAAUGGCAUCAAGGAGUGUCAAAACAUUCCUUCCAUUCUAUUCAAUCUUUGUUGUUUUCGGCAUGCGCAUCAGAACAAAGCGAAUCUACAUGACACAAAGGACAAAACUUUGUUCAUAUCCUCUUUAGGGAUGUUUGAAGAAACAUCUCGGAUGGGUUGUAAAAUAAAUUUAUGACUGUAUUUUAUCAGUUUCUUUUAUUCUUGGAUGCUAAGUUUCAUAGUGUAAAACAUUCCAAGGUUUUGAACUGCAUGGCCUGUUGGUGGUUACAGGAAAGAUGCUUAUUUGGAUGCAUGGUUUACCUGUCUAUUGGAUGGUUAUUUAAAUGAAGCAGCGGUGUUUUUGUGUCUGAUUAAA